UCUGAUGUGUAGAUGUCCCAGCAUCAAUUCAGCUGUCUAAACACAAAUGUCUGGUGCCCUUUGAGAUUCUUUCAGUGACAUCUCUGACGGUCCUUGCGGUGGACUUUUCCAUCACAGUUGUCUUCCUACUGAGCAGCAGGAGGUGUGUGACUAUCCUCUAGGGCCCUGGGGUGGAGGCCACACCCAGCAGUCAUGUACUUACCGUUUGUUGUCCCAGCUGCACGGAAAUGCUUGCCAGGAAUAACAGAGAACUGGGAACAGCUCAGCCCUUUCUUCCUCAACCUCAUGUGGAAGGUGCUGCGGGCCUUCAGCCCGCACUCCACCUGGAGAACACUGCAGAGGAGCUGAAGGCCACGCACAUCUCCAGAGUGCAUUUGGUGUGGAGCAGUGCAUUCCACGAGGUCAUGCACCAGCAAGAUCCGUUGGAGGUCACAGUGCACAGGGGCACAGUUCUGACCUGUGCUCAACCCUGGUGAACAUGCUCUGAGCACAGGUAUGCAGACCAGGAACAAACUACAGUCAUGGGGAUGCUCUUGGUUCAACUCAUGCAUUUGAGGGAAUUGUAGCCUGACCUGGAGUUAGUGCUGUGACUUCUGAGGGCAGUAAGCAACCAUGCUCUGAGCCUAAUGGCUUUCACUGCACUAUUUGUCCAAGAUAACAGGCAAAAGCCACCUUUAACUUUAUGUCUUACAGGUGUCUUACAGGUGAGAAAUCUGUGUUUUCUCCUAAGAUUGCUACUGCAAGUUAUUUUUAAGAAAGUAAAUUGUAAUGACUUCGUUAUUUUUAACACACAGGAAGAAAGCAAAGCACAAUCUUUUAGUUAUGCUUUUAUUUUUCCACUUUAUUGCCUUUUUUUUCUGGUUUGAACACAUCUGUUUUGCAAGCCUAUAGCAGCAGAAAUCUGAGUUAUGUGACAGAGCUACAGAUUUCACAUAUGACUUUUUCACCCUUUUCCCAAAUAAGAGUGAAAAGAUUUUGUAAAACAAAACAGUCCUGUAAGGGGUUUAAUGUUUCUUUUUCCUCUCUACUGCUCCAAAAGAUCUUUUCAAAGAGUUUGCUUUUAAUUGAGCCUGGAAACCUUCCACUUUUAAUGAGAACUUACCGACACCUAAUUGCCAUCUGCCUCCUUCAGUUUCUCUUAUAAGACUGCUUCAUUUUUCCUUUGUGCUCUGAACUACUCUGUAACUGCUGCAGUUUGUACUCCAAGUGAAUUCUUAAGUCUUCAUGAUAUGAGUUUAAGUAUUUUAUUCAGUAUUUCACCUCUGCCUAUUCCAGAACUACCCUAAAAAGCUUUUAGAGCUAAAUACUCAUUAGCUGCAGAAUGUAGAUGCCAGAUUUCUGCAACAACAUGGGUGAUGCUUGCCAGUGUACCUGUUUUACAAGUGUCCUUUCUUAUCUGAUAACACUGUAUCAGACAGGCAAAGCACUACACAGCAAUAUGGUGUGACAGAAGUACCCCAAAUCGCACCAUCGAGGAAAUACAUAGUAUCUUCCACAAAAUUAAAUGUACCCUUUCGUUGCACAAGCCCUUGCCUUUAAUAAGGCCUCCAAAAGAGCUAUCAAUACUGCUUUGUGGUGACCUUCUGCCCCGUGGUGAGUUCACCCCGUGUCAGAAGCAAGGAAUCUUUCACUGACUGAAGGCUGAAUAGGUCUUUCAAAAAUGUUUGGCAAACCUCAUGCUAACAUGCCUUUACUGUUAUGCCAUAAAAGGCUUUAUAGAAAGUCUCUAGUGAAGACUCUCCUGCUUUCUGACAGUUAGUUUCUUUCAAAAUUCCACUGACAUUUUCAAGUUUUCUGGUUUUCCUGAAAGUAAGCUUCCAGUUGUGCCCCUGCAUCGUGCUUUUCUUCCUUAAGAAGAAGUUCAAAUCCCAAGACGGUGAAUUGUAAUCCUUGGUCAGAUGUUGGUUCUCUGAGAUUUUCUUCCUGGCUGAAAACAGCAGAAAGAAAAGUCAGCUAUAGCAGUACGUACAACUUGUGACAAUCAUGCUACUUCUGGUCAUUUCCUACCAGGAGCAGAGCAGAGCAGCAGUUUUAAGUGGUGCAUCAGCUCGUGGGCCCAUCAUGCCAACUGUGCUUUGAAGCUUCUAAGGCAGGACGGAAGGGAGAUAUAUUGGUCACUGUUGUCUUCUGAGGAACUCUGCUCCUGGAUAGACUGUCGUUUGCCUGCAUGUAACUUCCUAUGGUGGAAAACGAGGUCUCACGAAUUUGUCUUGAAAAAUGAUUCAAGCCAGUUUUCCCAAGGCUGUCUACAAAAUAUUUGGACUUUCAGAAGAUGUUGCUCUUCUCUGAAUAUUAACUAUGAAAGUAAUGGCUGCAGCUGGGAGAACAAGAGGUACAGCUGAACUGGGAGCAUCUUUCCAUGCCUAGCUGAUAAGGAGGUGUUUUGCUUGAGGCUAGAGCUAAAUGACCUGUUCAUAAUCACUGUUUUUCAAUUAAUUUAAUCUUUUCUCUUGCACAUCAGUUUGUCAUGAAGAGACCAGACUGUACAAAUACCUCUCUCAUCUAAUGUUGUAUGAUGAAUGCUUCAAGAGAAAAUAAAGUAACUGCCUUUGUAUUGCUUGAAAACUGUCACUUCAAGGCUAUUUGCCACACAUUGUGGCAUCACUGCAGUGAAUAGAACGAAGCAGAUGGGCUUGUCAGGACCACUCUGAAGUUGUUGCCUGGAGAGGACAGAGGAACAGGUAGCGUCUACUUUGGAAGUCAGCUUUUGAGUUUCAGUCACUACGGCUAAAUUGGUUCACAUGUUCUGUACAACUCCAAACUAGAGAUGAACAAUGCAGAAAACCUAUUGUAUUUUUCAUGUAUAUGGUAGCAUGCAACUUUUACUAGAGCACAACUUAGAGCAGGGCUGCGUAUUACCUCUCAUUUUGCCCUGAGAUGGCCAUUCUUCUCCCUUUUCCUAACAAACCACCAAAGUAGAGAUGUUAAAAUUGUAACCUGGAGAGAUAAAAUGCUCUAGAUCAUGUUCCAGCCUACCAGUACAAUCAAGUCUGAAAGAGAGAUCUCAGGAUCCUCAACCACCACGCAAGAGAGUCAUAUGACACAUGAAACGCUGAUGGAGGGGGCUGCACCUUUCACAAAUAAUUCAGUGUCACUUAGCAGAAGGCUUGAUUUGUGUGAAAUGGAGGGGUUUACACCAGUUAAGCAGGUGUUAUAACAAAUAGCAUAAGGAAAGCAAAAUGCCUGAAAACACGAUGCAGCCAAUUUUGACUUGCUGUGCUGCUCCACGGAUUUCCUCCAUUGCCUGCUCAGUUCUGCAGAUGAGGGUUUAGCUGCUUCCUCCCAGUGGCCACUCAGAUUAAAAGCCUGAGCUCCGGGACAUAUGGCUGCUCCAGUCACAGUGGAUCUCUCGGCUUGUUUCCAACACGCUAUAACUUCAAUUUACCAGAAUGGCACUUGUAGAUGUCCAGUUAAAAUGUCCCAUUUUAUCAGGGAAAAUGCUUUCCAAUGGUACUGUUUGCCAUUGAAUAGAAUUCAAAAAUCACUUUGUCUGUUAUGACUUUUAUUUUCAUAAAGCAUGCAAACAUGUAAUACUUAA